GGGCCUGUGGCUCAAUUGGUAGAGCACUAGCAUGGCAUGCUAGGGGUUAGGGGUUCGAGUCCCCUCAGGUCCACCA
rnacentral:tRNA from 1 species